CGCCAGUCGUGUGCUAACAAGCGGUGCACACACAUUCACUUCUCAAGAUGAAUCUUAAUUCUCUACUAACAUUCUUGGUGGUGGCUAUAACAGCAAUCCUGGCCAGUCCUGUCCCAUCGCCAAGCAAUCUAUAUUACAAUCAAGGUCAUCAUGGUUACGGCACUGUAUACUACCGCCAAGUGUCCCCACAUUACGUGCCGCAAACGUACUCAUCACCUCUGAUUCCAAUUCACACCGGAGGGUACGGCUAUGGUCAAGCAUACUCCGGGUACGGAGGCAAUUCAUAUUACCAUUGAUAAGGAUGUUCGGCAAUGUUCCAGACCAAUGUUGAUCACCGUCGGCGUCUUCACAACAUGUUAUACCUUAUUUAUUCCAGUUUGUCCUAAGCACCGAUACACUUCCGAUGCCUCCAGGUCACUUUUCAUUUAGGAUGUGAAGUGAAUUAAAUAAGAAUUAGAAAAAAUAAACAAAUGAAUAGUAAAUGAAAAUAA